rnacentral:lncRNA from 1 species
CAGUUGCAAGAGAACUGGACAUUCGAGGACAAAUAGACAUGCUAAUCCUUGAUUUCUCGAAAGCGUUUGAUACAGUUCCUCACCAAAGACUCCUAAGGAAAAUGUCAUACUAUGGGAUAACAUCCAACACCCUACUAUGGAUUUCGGCAUGGCUCACUCAGCGACACCAGAGAGUAUGUCUAGAUGGAGAAGCCAGUGAGAACAAACCAGUACGAUCAGGAGUUCCACAGGGUACAGUAUUGGGACCACUUUGUUUCCUUAUAUAUAUAAACGAUAUGGGAGAAACAAUCUCAUCAAAAUCAACCCUACGUCUAUUCGCUGACGACUCACUAUUAUAUAGAUCCAUCAAGGGUAGUGAGGACAGUUUACAACUUCAAC